rnacentral:rRNA from 1 species
UACGUAGGGUGCAAGCGUUGUCCGGAAUUAUUGGGCGUAAAGAGCUCGUAGGCGGUCUGUCGCGUCUGCUGUGAAAACUCGGGGCUUAACCCCGGGCCUGCAGUGGGUACGGGCAGACUAGAGUGAUGUAGGGGAGACUGGAAUCCUGGUGUAGCGGUGAAAUGCGCAGAUAUCAGGAGGAACACCGGUGGCGAAGGCGGGUCUCUGGGCCGAAACUGACGCUGAGGAGCGAAAGCGUGGGGAGCAAACAGG